rnacentral:rRNA from 1 species
AGAGUUUGAUCAUGGCUCAGGAUGAACGCUAGCGGGAGGCUUAACACAUGCAAGUCGAGGGGCAGCACGAGGUAGCAAUACUUUGGUGGCGACCGGCGCACGGGUGAGUAACGCGUAUGCAACCUACCCUGUACAGGGGGAUAACCCGGAGAAAUUCGGACUAAUACCCCAUAAAGAUAUUGAGGGGCAUCUUUUAAUAUUUAAAGUUCCGACGGUACGGGAUGGGCAUGCGUAACAUUAGCUAGUUGGCAGGGUAAUGGCCUACCAAGGCAUCGAUGUUUAGGGGUCCUGAGAGGGUGAUCCCCCACACUGGUACUGAGACACGGACCAGACUCCUACGGGAGGCAGCAGUGAGGAAUAUUGGUCAAUGGGCGCAAGCCUGAACCAGCCAUCCCGCGUGAAGGAAGAAGGCGCUAUGCGUUGUAAACUUCUUUUCCAGGGGAAGAAAACCCUUGAUGUAUCGGGGCUUGCCGGUACCCUGGGAAUAAGCAUCGGCUAACUCCGUGCCAGCAGCCGCGGUAAUACGGAGGAUGCGAGCGUUAUCCGGAUUUAUUGGGUUUAAAGGGUGCGUAGGCGGACUAGUAAGUCAGUGGUGAAAACCUGCAGCUUAACUGUAGACUUGCCGUUGAUACUGUUAGUCUUGAGUAUGGUCAAGGUAGGCGGAAUGUGUAAUGUAGCGGUGAAAUGCUUAGAUAUUACACAGAACACCGAUUGCGAAGGCAGCUUGCUGGGCCAUUACUGACGCUGAGGCACGAAAGCGUGGGGAUCGAACAGGAUUAGAUACCCUAGUAGUCC